AUCGAUGCUGGAGAGUGAGCUGCCCCCUGACUCCAAAUGAAUGCAGAAACAGCUAGACACAGCUGUGUAUCUUGUCCGCUUCACCUGCCUUCUGCUUCUUUCAUCCCAGAAACACAUGCACAUACAAUGACCAGGAUGUGGCAGAUCUGUCCAGUUCUGUUGGAAAUGAACAUUUGGACAUGGAGGCUCUGCAUGGAAGGUGGAUGCAGAUAGAUGCCUCGCGGAGAAAAGUACCUCUGGGAUUUGCCGAAACAUUCACAAGAUGCUAAUUUGUCAUAAUCCCAGCUCCCACAGUGAGUGAAAAACAUCCUUCACAGAGAAAUAGUAUAGAGGCAGAUGACCAAAACGCUACACAGCGUGGAAAUGAAUUGUCACCCUUGUUCUGAGGCUCUCCUACCACCUCCUGCAUGCAGCAAGCUGAGAAGAAGCAAAGAAAUGAGGGAAGAUAUAGCAGCAGACUGACAACUGCUCAUCUUGAUGACUACCAGCACUCUGGAACUGAACCUGCAAGACCUCAGUUGUCCUAUUUGUUGUCUGCAAAUAACUGUGAAACUCCCAGCUGGAAUGGGUGUCUCCGCCUGCCCUUUCCUUUAACCGGUGUCUGGUCUAUGAAGAAAAGAGCAGCUUAUUUAACACAGUAAAUAUACAGUGCAGAUCCUUAUUACUUGGUUGAAGCUAGUAACUCUUCCAUGGCACUCGAAAUGUGUGACAAAUACAAAUCUGUGUGACAAAGGUUUUUUUUCCAUUUUUUUAUGGAAAAGAUUUGGUUUUGUGUUUUGGCUCCUUGGAGGCUGCAGGGCUUAAACAGGACAGGGCAAGGCACGGGGUGGGACUGAUACA
rnacentral:lncRNA from 1 species